rnacentral:tRNA from 1 species
CGAGAGUGCCUGAUAAAAAGGAUAAUUUUGAUAGAAUUAAUAAUGCAUUUGCCUCGCGUAA